rnacentral:rRNA from 1 species
GUCAGCGGCGGACGGGUGAGUAACACGUGGGCAACCUGCCUGUAAGACUGGGAUAACUCCGGGAAACCGGAGCUAAUACCGGAUACUAUGUCAAACCGCAUGGUUUGACAUUCAAAGACGGUUUCGGCUGUCACUUACAGAUGGGCCCGCGGCGCAUUAGCUAGUUGGUGAGGUAACGGCUCACCAAGGCGACGAUGCGUAGCCGACCUGAGAGGGUGAUCGGCCACACUGGGACUGAGACACGGCCCAGACUCCUACGGGAGGCAGCAGUAGGGAAUCUUCCGCAAUGGACGAAAGUCUGACGGAGCAACGCCGCGUGAGUGAUGAAGGUUUUCGGAUCGUAAAACUCUGUUGUCAGGGAAGAACAAGUGCCGGAGUAACUGCCGGCGCCUUGACGGUACCUGACCAGAAAGCCACGGCUAACUACGUGCCAGCAGCCGCGGUAAUACGUAGGUGGCAAGCGUUGUCCGGAAUUAUUGGGCGUAAAGCGCGCGCAGGCGGUUUCUUAAGUCUGAUGUGAAAGCCCCCGGCUCAACCGGGGAGGGUCAUUGGAAACUGGGAAACUUGAGUGCAGAAGAGGAGAGUGGAAUUCCACGUGUAGCGGUGAAAUGCGUAGAGAUGUGGAGGAACACCAGUGGCGAAGGCGACUCUCUGGUCUGUAACUGACGCUGAGGCGCGAAAGCGUGGGGAGCGAACAGGAUUAGAUACCCUGGUAGUCCACGCCGUAAACGAUGAGUGCUAAGUGUUAGAGGGUUUCCGCCCUUUAGUGCUGCAGCUAACGCAUUAAGCACUCCGCCUGG